rnacentral:lncRNA from 1 species
GUUUCCAGCUAUAUUGGGUGCUUGAGAAGGUUGUGCAUGGGCACAUCCUUCUUGCCCUUCCUGCACCAGCUGCCACUGUUUACCAGUCUGUAGCAGCUGGGCGAUGGAGAGAUUGUCAAGGAUUCUUGACUGACAUGUUCCCCUGGCUGUGAUUCGGGGGCUAGCUUCCUCAGAAUCUCCAUUUGAAAUUGGCAGAAACGGUGUCGCUGAGGACUCCUCUCAUGUCCUGUCACAUUUCCAUGCGAACAAAUCUCAUCUCACUGACGACGCCUGUCAAGUUUCACUUCGUUGCAGAGAUUUUUCAGAAGUACCAUGUGAUCAGGAGAACAAGAUGCAUGGAGGAAGUAACGCAUAAUGCUUGUGAGAGGUGGAAAGGACCUUAAAGAUCAUGUGGCUCAAUUCUCAUUUGCAGAUGAGGAAAGUGAGACCCAAGGAAGGAAAGUGACCUGGUAUAUGGCAAAGACAAAAUUUUAACCCAGGUUUCUUACCUUUGAAUCCAUUGCUCUGUUAACCACCGCAGGAAGAGUAAAAAGAAGGGAGAAGAGUUGCAGGAAGAAGUUUUGCUCAUUUCAGCGUUGGUCAUCCUAUUCCAUACAUAUCAUUCUCAGUUAAGCAUAUAUAACUUCCA